GACGAACGCUGGCGGCGUGCUUAACACAUGCAAGUCGAACGGGCCUGCCUGGCUUUGGUUGGGUGGGUGAGUGGCGAACGGGUGAGUAACACGUGAGUAACCUGCCCUCUUCUCUUGGAUAACUGCUUGAAAGGGCGGCUAAUACGGGAUGUUCUGGCUGCCUCGCAUGGGGUGGUUUGGAAAGAUUCGGCCUGGUUUUGGUUGUUUUGGUGGGGGAUGGGCUCGCGGCUUAUCAGCUUGUUGGUGGGGUGAUGGCCUACCAAGGCGGUGACGGGUAGCCGGCCUGAGAGGGUGGACGGUCACACUGGGACUGAGACACGGCCCAGACUCCUCGGGAGGCAGCAGUGGGGGAUUUUGCACAAUGGGCGCAAGCCUGAUGCAGCGACGCCGCGUGAGGGAUGGAGGCCUUCGGGUUGUGAACCUCUGUCGCCGGUGAUGUAGGCUCUGCUUUGUGGGUGGGGUGACGGUAGCC
rnacentral:rRNA from 1 species